rnacentral:lncRNA from 1 species
UCGCUGCGCCGGUGGAGAGCGUAGCAGCAGCAUCCACCGCCUAGCAGAGCCGCGGGCCACAGCGGGACGGCACAGUUCCAGCAGGGCAGCGGCUGCGCACGCCGGCUCCGGCUCGCACACAGGCGUAGGCCGCCCUCUACCGCCUGAAGGCCGGAGGCUGAGCGGGGCGCGAGCGGAUCCUGGAUCCCGGGAGGAGACUCGCCUCCAGAGAAUGCUGUGCUCCCUACAGCGCCGGGAAUGGACCGGCCCGUGCCAGCUCAGUCGGCGGCCCUAGGGGGCACCCGCACUAGAGGUUUUGAAGCUGGCUCCUUGCUACUUUUAGGGGUGCGCGCUGCUGCUGCUCAGCCCCUGCAGCCCGCAUUUGGCCGCUUGACUGCUGCUUCCAGCGCGAUCCUACAAUGGCAUCGCUCCCCCAGGAGACUCAGCGAAGCCCUACUUUAUCUUGUAAGAGCUGUUUCCACAUUCACUCGAAGAGAAAGACCCCCCCCACGAGGGCCUGAGUUCGAUGCCCGGCCUCUCCCGACCCGCGGCUGCGACAGCCCCUCUGAGGCGGAAGUUUAUUUAGUACGGGAAAGAGAACAGCACGGGGAGAGGGGAGAGGCUUUGCCCUAGGAUGCGUCCUACCCGCUCGGACUCGGAAAAUUCCCGGCGCCCGCGAUGCAGAGCAGUGGACCGAAGGGCUGCCCCAGAGCAGCCCAGACCGCCAGCUGAGCGGGAGGACCGGAGCGCGCCGCCCCAGCACACAAAGUAGUCGCGGGACGAGGGGUGCCGCCGAGGCCAAUCAGAGCUGCGCGCCGCGUGAGUGGAGUGCGAGCCGGCCAAUCAGAGGGCCGGAAGAUGAGCUUCCCGUUCCAAACUCUUCCCUGUAGCCUUGGGACCCAGAUCCCAAGCCUGGGGCGCUUUACGGUGGGAGAGCGAAAUGGUGCCCUUAAGACAAGAAUCAUUUCUCUAGGCUUGGGCAUUUUAAAGUACAUACCGGGGAUACUUAUCCCAAAGCAAGUAGCGGCGGCCUUUUAGAUGUUAAAUAUUAAAAGAUCACAGAAAGGAGAUUUAAGAGGCAGUGGCCUGUCAAGGUUGCAAUCUGCCUAAUAUUCAUAAAUUCACAUAUUUAUUGAGACCUUCUUAUGUACCAGGAACUCUAUCACAGAUACACAAAUAAGGUACUGCUGAUUCAAAAGAAAAUCCCUUGUCCUCAAGCAGCUCAGGUUGUGAGGGAGGCUUUCCUAGACCUUGAGACUCGUAUUUAUUGUCAGCUCUUUAAACAAAAAGCACUCUAUGAAGUGCUGUACUUUACAGUCGUUUUUAUGAUUAUCUCCCUGUGAGAAAAGAAAAUUGAAAGGAAAGUAGAGUGACUUGUCCAAGAUCACACAGAAGAUGUACUAGCAGAGCCAGAAUUAUGUUCUAGCUCAGUUUGGGUGUCAUCAUUCAAUAAAAUAAUUCAAUAACAAUUUGUAAAUGCAUGGAUGCUCUCUCCCAUGAGAUUUCUGUACUAAACGUAUAAGCAGGACAAAAUUCUGGUAUAAAAGUGACACACUUUGGUUGUUGGAAAUGAACACAAAUUUUAGACUUAUGUGGGAUUAAAGGUAAAAAUCUUACCAGUCAUACUUUAGAUAAUUUUUAGAAGUCAGAGGUGGGGUGGAUAUUUACUUCUUAGUUUAAACACAGCAUUUUAAAAAUAUUUUAACAAGCAAGCGUAACUUUUUUUUUUUAAGAUAGAAGAAGCAGGAAGGAUCACUUAAGCCCAAGAGUUCCAGGCUGCAGUGCCACAUCGUGCCUGUCAGUAGCCACUUCAGCCUGGGCAACAUAGCAAGACCCUCAUGUCUAAAAUUAAAAAUAAAAUUUAAAAAAAAGAACUACUUCUAGUUGGUUAAUAAUCAUGAUAGUUUACACUGUAUAAUACUUUGAGAUACCCAAGUACAAAGCUUUACAUUUGCCUAAAAAUUCCAUUUUUGUCUGGUGUUCCAUUUUUACUUCCAAAAUCCUAGGAAUUAAAGCACUUAUUUUCCCUACCUCCUUCCAACUGAAA